rnacentral:lncRNA from 1 species
GGAAAAGAAAACAUUAAAUGAAAAUGUGAGCGGAUGGAGGCUGCUGCGAGGAGCGCUGGGCUGCUGCGCCAGUGCCCUCUCCUGGGCAGAGGGAGCCGAGCAGAGCCGGGCUGGGUGACAAGCAUGAAGCCCUACACUGAUCCGGAUGGAGAUGAACACCACCCAACCCGAAACGCCCCGAGCUCCCGAUCGGAGCGAUGCAUCGCGGCGGAGGUAGCAGCCAAUGGAAGAGGAGCUGCCUGGUUAUCAUCGUUAGUAUUGAGAAGCGUCAUGCACUGCUCGGGAAGACUUUUUGGGAGCGGGCAGAGACAUCGCUCCCCUCCGAACGAGUUGUCUGCUAGAGCCGGAUUUUGGCAAACGGCGCCAGGUUUCCCUGGUUCAAUUUGCACACGGGAUGACAAAUGAAUAUCAUAGUAUAUAUUCCGCACACACACCCCUCUCUCCCCCCCCCCCUCCUUCCCCUCCCCAUCCUCGAAGUACCCGAGAAUAAGCAAUGAAAACAAAGGUAGUUUUGUAUUUUAAACGGAGGAGGGGAAAAACACGAUACACGAGGGCUGUUCCCACGGGUGGGUGGGAGUGGAAAAGCAGUUCCCAUUCGCGUCGCCCGCACAUACCAUCCCUGCUCCCUCCCCGUCGGGGCCACGCGUGGCACGGAGCUGCCCGAAGGGAUAACGUUGGGGGCACUCCAAAGGGGAUGUGGGGGGAAAUCCCGGGGGAAAGUGGCCUCCUGCAACCCCUUUUUUUUCUGUCGCGGGUCCUCGAGGGAGGCUGCUGGGAUGCUGGGGGAGAAGUUCGUGGGACCUCACCUAGAGAAGGGGUUGGAGGGGUUUCCCCAUGGGUUUUCCCCGUGCCGGGGGUUAAGAGAGGGGGGAGCGCGACCCGCACAGCCCCCGCUUUGGGGGAAUGGGGCUGAGAAAUUUCCAACACAUUUCUAAACGCAACGAAAAAAGCCGCUGGGACGGCGCCGGUGGCGGCAGCCGCAAAGUCUCCGACCCCGCCGGCCUCGUCCAGGUGAGCGGACUCUAAACCGUGCCCCCAUCCUCCUCCUCCUCUUCCUCCUCCUCUUCCUCCUCCUCCCCGGCCCCGCACGCACACGGGGAAAUGAAAGUCAUUUGUUGAGAGCGGAAAGGAGAGAGAGAAAAAAAAAAAAAAGCAGGAAAUAACUGAGGGUGGUUGACGAUAUUGUUAUCAUUAUCGUUGUUGUUAUUCUUAUUACUACUCCGGGGGUAGCGAACGACCGCCAAUGGCAGCGCGGGGCCGCUCCGGCGGGAGCCGAAGUUGCCUCCGGGAGACUGCGGGGGGAGCGCGGAGGUUGCGGGGCUGCGGACCCCACCGUCGG